GCGGAAGUGGUGAAAUUGGUAUACACGCUACUUUGAGGGGGUAGUGCUCGUUCGAGCGUGCGGGUUCGAGUCCCGCUUUCCGCACCA
rnacentral:tRNA from 1 species